GGGUUGUGAGGUUAAGCGACUAAGCGUACACGGUGGAUGCCCUGGCAGUCAGAGGCGAUGAAGGACGUGCUAAUCUGCGAUAAGCGUCGGUAAGGUGAUAUGAACCGUUAUAACCGGCGAUUUCCGAAUGGGGAAACCCAGUGUGAUUCGACACACUAUCAUUAACUGAAUCCAUAGGUUAAUGAGGCGAACCGGGGGAACUGAAACAUCUAAGUACCCCGAGGAAAAGAAAUCAACCGAGAUUCCCCCAGUAGCGGCGAGCGAACGGGGAGCAGCCCAGAGCCUGAAUCAGUGUGUGUGUUAGUGGAAGCGUCUGGAAAGGCGCGCGAUACAGGGUGACAGCCCCGUACACAAAAAUGCACAUGCUGUGAACUCGAAGAGUAGGGCGGGACACGUGGUAUCCUGUCUGAAUAUGGGGGGACCAUCCUCCAAGGCUAAAUACUCCUGACUGACCGAUAGUGAACCAGUACCGUGAGGGAAAGGCGAAAAGAACCCCGGCGAGGGGAGUGAAAAAGAACCUGAAACCGUGUACGUACAAGCAGUGGGAGCACGCUUCGGCGUGUGACUGCGUACCUUUUGUAUAAUGGGUCAGCGACUUAUAUUCUGUAGCAAGGUUAACCGAAUAGGGGAGCCGAAGGGAAACCGAGUCUUAACUGGGCGUUAAGUUGCAGGGUAUAGACCCGAAACCCGGUGAUCUAGCCAUGGGCAGGUUGAAGGUUGGGUAACACUAACUGGAGGACCGAACCGACUAAUGUUGAAAAAUUAGCGGAUGACUUGUGGCUGGGGGUGAAAGGCCAAUCAAACCGGGAGAUAGCUGGUUCUCCCCGAAAGCUAUUUAGGUAGCGCCUCGUGAAUUCAUCUCCGGGGGUAGAGCACUGUUUCGGCAAGGGGGUCAUCCCGACUUACCAACCCGAUGCAAACUGCGAAUACCGGAGAAUGUUAUCACGGGAGACACACGGCGGGUGCUAACGUCCGUCGUGAAGAGGGAAACAACCCAGACCGCCAGCUAAGGUCCCAAAGUCAUGGUUAAGUGGGAAACGAUGUGGGAAGGCACAGACAGCCAGGAUGUUGGCUUAGAAGCAGCCAUCAUUUAAAGAAAGCGUAAUAGCUCACUGGUCGAGUCGGCCUGCGCGGAAGAUGUAACGGGGCUAAACCAUGCACCGAAGCUGCGGCAGCGACGCUUAUGCGUUGUUGGGUAGGGGAGCGUUCUGUAAGCCGGUGAAGGUGUGCUGUGAGGUAUGCUGGAGGUAUCAGAAGUGCGAAUGCUGACAUAAGUAACGAUAAAGCGGGUGAAAAGCCCGCUCGCCGGAAGACCAAGGGUUCCUGUCCAACGUUAAUCGGGGCAGGGUGAGUCGACCCCUAAGGCGAGGCCGAAAGGCGUAGUCGAUGGGAAACAGGUUAAUAUUCCUGUACUUGGUGUUACUGCGAAGGGGGGACGGAGAAGGCUAUGUUGGCCGGGCGACGGUUGUCCCGGUUUAAGCAUGUAGGCUGGUUUUCCAGGUAAAUCCGGAAAAUCAACGCUGAGGUGUGAUGACGAGGCACUACGGUGCUGAAGUAACAAAUGCCCUGCUUCCAGGAAAAGCCUCUAAGCAUCAGGUAACAUUAAAUCGUACCCCAAACCGACACAGGUGGUCAGGUAGAGAAUACCAAGGCGCUUGAGAGAACUCGGGUGAAGGAACUAGGCAAAAUGGUGCCGUAACUUCGGGAGAAGGCACGCUGAUAUGUAGGUGAAGUCCCUCGCGGAUGGAGCUGACGAGAGUCGCAGAUACCAGGUGGCUGCAA
rnacentral:rRNA from 1 species